rnacentral:rRNA from 1 species
GGAAUAUUGGACAAUGGGCGAAAGCCUGAUCCAGCCAUGCCGCGUGUGUGAAGAAGGUCUUCGGAUUGUAAAGCACUUUAAGUUGGGAGGAAGGGUAGUAGUUUAAUACGUUGCUAUUUUGACGUUACCGACAGAAUAAGCACCGGCUAACUCUGUGCCAGCAGCAGCGGUAAUACAGAGGGUGCAAGCGUUAAUCGGAAUUACUGGGCGUAAAGCGCGCGUAGGUGGUUCGUUAAGCUGGAUGGGAAAGCCCCGGGCUCAACCUGGGAACUGCAUUCAAAACUGUCGAGCUAGAGUACGGUAGAGGGUGGUGGAAUUUCCUGUGUAGCGGUGAAAUGCGUAGAUAUAGGAAGGAACACCAGUGGCGAAGGCGACCACCUGGACUGAUACUGACACUGAGGUGCGAAAGCGUGGGGAGCAAAC